CCGAGCUGGUGAUGAUAAAAGUUAUCCCUGUCUGAAAUCGAUCUUUCCUUGUGGAAGCAGAACUCUGAGGCUCGG
rnacentral:snoRNA from 1 species